rnacentral:rRNA from 1 species
AGGACAUUGGGCAAUAGAUUAGUCAGAGGUGAAUCUUGGAUGGAAGCUAACGUAUCGGAGCAUGCCAAGGAGUUUUCUUAUUCAGCGAAGAUGGUUCAAAAACAAUCAGAUACUAGUUGAGGUCAGAUGUAUGACUAGUCGGCUAGGGAUUCGACUCCACAUCUUCAUUCAGUACCUAUGAGAAAAUCAGUCUUUGGUUUGGAGAGGUAAUUCGCAAGCUGGAGCUUAAGGAAUUGACUGAAGAACAGCGGGCAGGGAGGUGGAGGCUUCCGCUUCAACUCGCCCUCAACACGGGGAACUUACAAGAGAAUCCAGACAUAGUGAGGGAUUGUCAGAUUGAUAGCUUCUUUCUUGUUCUAUGGGUGGUGGUCUCCCGUCCUUGUUGGUGGAAUAAUUUGUCUGUUGAAUUCCGAUAACGAACGAGACCUUAACCUGCUAAGCUAGAUAUUUUCAUUUUAUGAAUAUAUCUUCUUAGAGGGACUAUAUGCUUUGAGUAUGUGGGGGUAAGAGGCAUAACAGGUCUGUGAUGCCCUUUAUAUGUCCUGGGCUGCACGCGUGCUACACUGAUAUAUACAACAAGUGCCUAGCUAGAUAUAGUAUGGCAAUCUCGAAUAUAUAUCGUGAUGGGGAUAGAUCUUUGCAAUUAUAGAUCUUGAAAAGAGAAAAUUCCUAGUAAGUGCAAGUCAUCAUCUUGCAUUUUUUAUUUCUCUGCCCUUUGGGCAAAAGCGAGAAGUCGCUCCUACCGAUACCGGGUGAUCCGGUGAACCUUUGACCUCAAGGAAGAAAUCCCCUUCCUGCAAAGAAUGACAGA